rnacentral:lncRNA from 1 species
GCAAAUAUCCCAGUUUCUUCCACACUAUUGCUUGUCAACCCCAGUAGUGCUACCAAUGGCGUCGGCUUUGUUCCUUUGGCUUUCAUGGCUUGUGCUCUCCCUCCUCUCCAUCUACCUCCUCGAUCUCCUCGCACACUCCCGCCGCCGCCUCCCGCCGGGACCCCGCCCUCUCCCGCUCAUCGGCAGCCUCCACCUGCUCGGCGACCAGCCACACCGCUCGCUCGCCGGCCUCGCCAAGACGUACGGCCCGCUCAUGUCGCUCCGCCUGGGCGCGGUCACCACGGUGGUCGUCUCCUCGCCGGACGUCGCCCGCGAGUUCCUGCAGAAGCACGACGCCGUCUUCGCCACCCGGUCCGCCCCCGACGCCGCCGGUGACCACACAAGGAACUCCGUCCCGUGGCUUCCCCCGGGGCCGCGGUGGCGCGAGCUCCGCAAGAUCAUGGCGACGGAGCUGUUAGCGACGCACCGGCUCGAUGCGCUCCACGAGCUCCGGCAGGAGAAGGUGUCGGAGCUGGUGGACCACGUCGCGAGGCUGGCGCGCGACGGCGCGGCGGUGGACGUCGGCCGCGUGGCGUUCACCACCAGCCUGAACCUCCUCUCGCGCACCAUCUUCUCGCGCGACCUGACCAGCCUCGACGACCGUGGCGCGUCCAAGGAGUUCCAGCAGGUGGUCACGGACAUCAUGGGGGCGGCCGGAAGCCCCAACCUGUCGGACUUCUUCCCGGCGCUCGCCGCCGCCGACCUGCAGGGCUGGCGCCGGCGGCUGGCCGGGCUGUUCGAGCGGCUGCACCGGGUGUUCGACGCAGAGAUCGAGCAUCGCAGGCGUGUCGCCGGAGAGGAGCAUGGGAAGGUGAAGGACGACUUUCUGAGGGUGCUCCUGAGGCUCGCCGCCCGCGACGACGACACGGCGGGGCUCGACGACGACACGCUCCGGUCAGUUUUCACGGUAAGGACAUGCUCCCUCUGACCAAAAUAUAAAAACCUCGAUUUUCUAGUGAAUCUGAAUAAUCUAUCCAAAAUAAUGGUAAAUGUCUUGUAGAAUUUUAGGUUCUUAUAUUUUACCACGAAGAGAGGGUUCAGCUUUUUCACAUGCUGAAACGUCUAGCGAGUUCCAUUGUAGCUACUGUAGGUAAACAGAAACAGCAAUAGUUAAAUUAGGUUUGCUGUCAAUGUCGCAUACUUCCGUUUUUUAACCCAUAUUGUUGUUAACUUAUCGUUGUUGAAUUUAGUUCCACGUCGGUAAUUGAUAAUGGGAUAGCACAACUUAAAAAGUGAGGGCAGUAAUUAUCCAAGACUAGUCUCACUAGUACUAGAGAAACAAUUUUCCUGAAUGAGCUAUUUAGUUUACAGACGAACCCUUAAGAAGCCUGUAGGUGAAAAUCGCAUGCCAAAAUAAACCGAUUUUCUUAUUUUUGCAUGCGGGCAUUGUUGGCCUCUUAAAAAUAUACUUACAAGUCAAUCCUUCAUCCUCUUUUCCCUCCUCUACACUUCAAAAUUCAAAAUUUCAUCCUCUUUUUCCUCCUCAACACUUCAAAAUUCAAAAUUUCACCUUGCGGGCCUCUUGAAAACAUGCCUACAAGUCUAUCCUUCCUCCACUUAUCCCUCCUCGACACCUCAAAAUUUUAUCUCAUCCACCCAUCCACGUCAUUAUCCUUUCUAUCCUCUCUCUCACUCUCUAUCCUCUUCCACUCUCUCACCUCUCUCUCCCGCGGCCGGCGUGGGCGCGGCCAGCGGCACCGCGCGGCUUGGCGGCGUCCUUAGCGGCAGCGACCGAGAGCGGUGAGCUCGGCAGCGUGUGCGCGCCGCUGCGGACGACCGCCCCUCACCUGAAUCCAGUAGAGGCCGCUGCCCCACGCCCCGAUCUGGCGGCGACGGUCGUCCCCCGCCCGGAUCCGAAGGCGGUGGCGGCCUCAGCGGCAUGCGCGCGGCGGCGACCGAGAGCGGCGGGUUCAGCGGCGCGUGCGCGCAGCGGCGGCGGUGGUGGCGGGCGGGCAGGCUCGGACGGUGGGGAGGCACCGGAUCCGGCUACCGCGACGGCGACGGCGACGAUGACGAUGACGGAGACCGCGAUGGCGACGACGACGGCGACCGUGAGGAGGGUUUUCUUUUUUUGGAUAUUUUUUUUGGUUUUUUAUUUUUGCGUGCGGGCGACAUAACCACCCCGCACGCGAAAAUCGCGUGCGGGUGCGCCACCCACACGUAAAAAUAGUGAUUUUAAAGACACUUGGUUCCAGACAGUUGGAAGAUCCGCACGCGAAAAUCACUUUUGACCGCACAGAAGAAUCAUUUCUCUACUAGUGUGUUUAGGGCUGUAUAGGUCCAGGACCUAAAGUUGUGACUCCGGUUGGUCCUAUGGUAGAUCAGGCCCAAUGUGACCUGGAUGGCCCACGGUUGGUGGGCCAGGCUACGCACUCUAAUAAGUGGUAUCAUAGCUCAGGUUUGGAAUCCGCAAUGAUUUCUAUGGGUCACAUGGGUUGAUGUGACGGAAAAGAUUGUUGACAAAAGUAUGAUAUUUACACAAAUAUCAGAUGGCUACCUCCUCGUGUGCAAAGUAGAGUUUUCACAAAGUUUGGAAUCCGCAAUGAUUUCUAUGGGUCACAUGGGUUGAUUGACGGAAGAGAUUAUUGACAAAAGUAUGAUAUUUACACAAAUAUCGGACGGCUACCUCCUCAUGUGCAAAGUAGAGCUUUCACACGAUUAUUACGCGGGUAAUGCUGCAGGUGGCUUAUCUAUUCUAUUUUCCUUUCUCUUCUCUCUCUUUUAACCACUUUUUAAAAAAAAAUUAGACAAUUUUUCCUUCUAAAUUAAUUAUACGAUUCAUGAUUCAAUUUCAUCAUUACGUUCGUCAUAACUAAAUCUUUAUAAAUUGAUUCUGCUUGAUUAUAUUUAUGAGAAAAUAUAUAAUAUGAUUACAGAUCUAAUUUAAACAUUUUUAUAUUAUACACGAAACAAUGAGAUGUAAAUGUUGGAAUAUUAGAAAAUACUCAAUGAAACAUUCAAAGUACAAUACGUGCAAUAUUUCUGAAUAAAUAAGUAAAACAUUAGAAAAUAAUGAAACAUCCGAUGACACUACAUGCACCAUUAACAAAUAAACUAUUGAAACAUCACAAAAUAAUUAUUGAAACAUUAAAAAACACACCCGGUGUGACAUUUAAAAUAGAUCCAUUAUAACACAAAACUUAAAAGAUGCAGCAUAGUCAAAUUCUAAUUGUAACAUUUAUUUCUCACACGUCAAACUUUUGUUGGAGAAAAGAACGGUACAGGUACAACUGCACUGAACCCGUCCCCCAAUUUCUUCUUGUAAAUACAUAUAGUUGCAAAUAUCCCAGUUUCUUCCCCAGUACUGCAAUGGCGGCUUUGUUUCUUUGGCUUUCAUGGCUUGUGCUCUCUCCCUCCUCUCCGUCUACCUCCUCGACCUCCUCGCACAAUCCCGCCGCCGCCUCCCGCCGGGACCCCACCCUCUCCCGCUCAUCGGCAGCCUCCACUUGCUCGGCGACCAGCCACACCGCUCGCUCGCCGGCCUCGCCAAGACGUAUGGCCCGCUCAUGUCGCUCCGCCUGGGCGCGGUCACCACGGUGGUCGUCUCCUCGCCGGACGUCGCACGCGAGUUCCUGCAGAAGCACGACGCCGUC